rnacentral:rRNA from 1 species
GAUGAACGCUGGCGGCGUGCCUAAUACAUGCAAGUAGAACGCUGAAGCUUGGUGCUUGCACCGAGCGGAUGAGUUGCGAACGGGUGAGUAACGCGUAGGUAACCUGCCUCUUAGCGGGGGAUAACUAUUGGAAACGAUAGCUAAUACCGCAUAAAAGACGAUAUCGCAUGAUAUUGAUUUGAAAGGUGCAAAUGCAUCACUAAGAGAUGGACCUGCGUUGUAUUAGCUAGUUGGUGAGGUAACGGCUCACCAAGGCAACGAUACAUAGCCGACCUGAGAGGGUGAUCGGCCACACUGGGACUGAGACACAGCCCAGACUCCUACGGGAGGCAGCAGUAGGGAAUCUUCGGCAAUGGGGGCAACCCUGACCGAGCAACGCCGCGUGAGUGAAGAAGGUUUUCGGAUCGUAAAGCUCUGUUGUAAGAGAAGAACGAGUGUGAGAGUGGAAAGUUCACACUGUGACGGUAACUUACCAGAAAGGGACGGCUAACUACGUGCCAGCAGCCGCGGUAAUACGUAGGUCCCGAGCGUUAUCCGGAUUUAUUGGGCGUAAAGCGAGCGCAGGCGGUUAGAUAAGUCUGAAGUUAAAGGCUGUGGCUUAACCAUAGUACGCUUUGGAAACUGUUUAACUUGAGUGCAGAAGGGGAGAGUGGAAUUCCAUGUGUAGCGGUGAAAUGCGUAGAUAUAUGGAGGAACACCGGUGGCGAAAGCGGCUCUCUGGUCUGUAACUGACGCUGAGGCUCGAAAGCGUGGGGAGCAAACAGG